AAGUGCCAAAGCAGCUCUCAGCACUUUCUGGCAGCUGAAAUGAGAAGCACAAAACAGGACCCAAUGCAAAAAAAUCUGUGCAUGUACAAAGACGUAAAGAGGAGGAUGCAAUGAAAGAAGCACUUCUGACUUUGGCAAGACCCAGUUCUGUGCUACAAAACCGGACUUGCUCAUAGGACCAGAUUUUAUUCACUUUAUUUUAUGGAUUUGCCUCUGUUUUUUGCCUCUCUGUACUGUAUCCCUGAAGUUAUACUUUGUGGUGGGACUUGAUGCUGUCUUUGGGAUGGCAAAUGAUGCCGCCUGGAGUUUAAUUACCAUUCACAUUUCGUGCCGAGGGCGUGCAGCGUGGCUGCGGGGGCGUCACAUCGGAGGCAGAGCUAGGAGGGACUCCAGUGGUCUCCAGGCUGUGUACACGAACCCAGCUGUGGGCACUGCUGCAGGGCUGUACCACAGCCUGCUCUGUCAGGGAGGUCUGCUCAGGAUCUCUCUGGUCACAUCUAAGUUUGUCCUGCAGCAAGACUGACCUGUGAUAUAAAUACUUAGAAAAGCGUAACUCUGUUUACCAAAUUCCAAGUACCAUUUGCUCCAGCCAGGCUCUCUACCACGCUGCAGCGUCUUUCUGGAGCACAAUGGUCUCGUUUGUGAACCAUUACUUCUGCUUCCUUUAGCUGCAGCCCGUCUGACAUUUCUAUUUUCACAGCUGCUUCCCCACUUUCAUCCCCCACACAUUCCCUUUUACUACCUUACUGUAGCCAUUGAAAGCAAUUUGUCUACUAAGCCUCCUCUAAGUAGGAGGAAAUAAUUCGUUAGCAAAUGGCUCGGGCUGUGUCGAGGCAACCCCACAGGGAUUUUUUCACCUGUUUGACUCAAUGGGCAGCGGUAAUUUGAUAAAUCUCCGUGUAAGAGCGUGUCUCAGCAGGCAGAGCUCCUCGCUGAACUACAGAGUGAAAACAGACAGGAAAAGAGCAGAGGGAACAGAAUAACCCCGUGAGGUUCCUUUUGUGGAUGGGCUAGCUACUCACUUCUCAGCCGAGGCACAAUGCAGCGAGACGGAGCUCCUUCAUCUUUUAUUCUGAUUGAUCCGGGUUCAUCUUACCCAGUAACACUAAAGCAAUCUGGAGAGGAAACCAGAGUUUUGUCCAGCCUCCUUUACUAUUUCUGUAACGACGGAGGCCAGGCAAGGCCGAUGCGCGUCCCUCUCCAGGUGAGGCGGUGCAAUGCCGGACAGGCUCUCGGCUCAUCUUUUGCUGUCUUAAAAUCUGCGGCUGCUUCAGCGUCCCUUGGUGCACGGUGUCCUUAUGCCCUUAGUGCUGGUCCCCACCAGCCCGGGGCUGCUCCAGUUCUGCUGCCGGCAUCCCAGGAGGGAGGAUGAAAAUAUCGGUGGAUGCCCAGGGGACGACGAGUUGCCGUACACAACCUGUAAAAGCUUUCAACAGCAUCAUCUGGUGCAGUGCCACUGAGCUGUGCAUGGAAAAGAACAGGCUUUGAGGCACAGCCUGUUGUCUGUGGGUAUUUUGGUCCAUCACCCCAUACCUCAUGUGCUGUAGGAAAGAAGGUAACAGGCAGUUUUCAUCAAAGCUCUUCUUUCAGGAGCGUUUUAAUAAAACCUGACAAUGGCACCGGGCUCAUCAACACAGUAUAACCACAUGGAGUGCAAUAUCUCCGCUAUAUUUUCUGUAUUUCCUCCUGUAUUUUCCACAGGUUACUAACUUAUGAAACAUGCCUGGUACCAAACCUGGCCAUGUUACAUAUUUACAGAAUCAAACAUAUCUGUGUGUGAGUUCAGCGCUGCCAUGCUUGGGGCUAGCAGAAACGUGCCUCAGAGGUGCUGGAGGGCACGGGGAUACCGCAGCUGAGGUUUGAUUCAGUAAAAGAAAGAAGGACUCUUGUUUAGCUUAACUGUGGCAAUCCCACCUCUAAUUAAAAUUAGACAUUCUUGAUUGCAUUCUAAAUGGAUCUGAUGACUUUGUUAAUGCGAAGUGACAAGGCGGCUCUGUCUCUGUCAGCCUAUGAAAUAUUAGAGCCGCGCUCUGGCUGGGGUUUAGGAGGAGACGAGGACGGACUUCAGUUAAAGCCCCUCGGUACUGGAGCAAGAAGGACCGAACGUGCGAGCAGCUUCGCAGCCAUCCCACCCGACUCCAGCCCGGGGAAGCCCUUGGUCAGCAUCGCCAGGGGGAGAGCAGGCGACCCCGGCGAGUCAUGGUGCAGGCGCGCGUCUCACCUGGCAAGGCUGGCCUCACGUUGGCCAAGCUGAAGCGAUGGUAAGAAAAGAAGCCAGAGAUGUAGUGUAUGCUCUUUGUCGUAGUGAUAAAAGCAUAACUAGGGCGCAGGGUGCUCUCUCAUGGGUUGUGUGCCUCUGUUUUCUCUGCAGAACCACUCCCUUCAUCCCUGCUCCUGCUCUUCCAGCGGGGCAGCACCAGUCUUCGACCUCAGCUCCUCAGGAGCUCGCUGCUGUGUGCUGUUUUGUAUUUACCUGCAUUGAUUUUCACCUGCCAUUUUGUCACUAAAGGUCUGGAAACAAAAGACAGCAAACAAGAUACCUGUAAAACGCCCUUCUUCACUGCAAGCUGCUUUCCCACUUGUUUCUGGAGCGAAGCGCAGUGCUGCUGCCCCAUCGGGUGUUUCACACGCAGCCUCUGCUCUCCAGACGAGUUAUUUCUCAUUAUUAUUCCUCUGCCCCUCUUUACUCUGACACUUUCCCUGCCCCUGCGAGGGCUCCCUGUGCCCCACUGUGCCAGCCUGCUGCCUGUCCUGCUGCAGGGCCCUGGCCUCAGCCCUGCCGGAGGCCACAGCUCUGUGUGGCCAUGGGGUGAAAAGGGUUCCUUUGGCACGCGGCCUGCUCGGCGUAGCAGCUCCCAGCACUUUCAGAGGUUGGUGUAAAGCACGUGUUGAGCCUGCACAGUGCAGCUGGAGAAGAUGGCUCUCAGACAAUGUCCUUCAUUCAGAUGCUUUUCGGAUGGCAAAAUUGCUCCCUAUUCUCUGCCUACUGUCAGCGUAAUAGUUCUCGUGUCACAAAUAAAUUCUGACAUCUGGUUUUUGCAAAGGGCGUUGGAAAGGAUGCGGAUAAUAAGUCCAGAAAUUGUUUGAUUACCCCCCUUCAGAGGCGAUGCUCUGCCCACGAAGCAGCUCGGAGCUGCGGCAGGGAGCCCCUGGACUCCUCAUCCUCGCGGGGAGCGCUGUGCUUUUGGCCUGGGGCAAGGGGAAGUGCCACCGGUGUUUUACAUUUCUCCCACUUGUACGAAAGCUUUUGUUUCCCCUACAGGUUUACAAAAAUAAAGAUACAUGAGCCUCUGUCUUGUCGGCAAUAAUUAUCCAUGCCUGGUCCUUUUUCUGCAGCAGAUUCAGGCAGGAAGUAUUGUUUUCCCCAACAGCAGAUACAAACCGAUGCAUGCAAAGCGCGUUUGCAUGCACAGUCUGGUUUCACUUGAAUGUGCAAAUUCUGUCAUCUAUAUUUAAUUUUAAUACUGCAAGUUGAAGUAAUUCCUAGCACAAAUUUAGGAUCUAGCUCUGACCUCUUAGAAAAUGUGGUUCUCAGAAUAACAUAAGCUGUUGUAUUUCCUUACUUUGACGUGUUUUUAAUGUUCAGCAAUACUGUUUUAUGAGGCACGUAUAAAACAUAUCUAUCCUUCACCUCUAAGGGAAAUGAAAGCCCAAGCAGCUCCGUGGGGGCAGUAACAAUGACAAUUUCUGCACCUCGC